CAAAGGUGGGAUUUCAGAGAUUUCAAGAUUUCGGGAUUUCAUGAGAUUUUAUGAGAUUUCAAAAGAUUUCAAAAGUAGGUGUACAAGAUUUCACGGAGUGUCGGACCCCUCGUAGAUAGUAUAGUAUGUUUGAAGAUGCCAAGAUCAAGCUUCAAAAACAAGGCUAGAUGAACAUCUCAUAGCUAGGUACUAGCAGUCGAACAGCAACUGGAAUAAAUGCGAGAAGUUUAUUUUCCAGGAAGUGGGCGUGUCCGGAAGCAAAUAGCUGGUGCCAUUGUGUGAGUAGCUGCCUGUAGUUAGAGCUGUGUAGCAUAGACCCAGACCACUGUUAGAAGCUGUUCAAAGCUCAGAAGGCCAUUGAUAACUUUUGUCUCUAUAUUCUCCUUGUCACUGUCACUGGUCUUCGCUGUCUGAGUCCAAUUCAAUUUCCGGCUCUUUCGUUUCAGCAAUCUCUCUGCAAAUGGACCAGAAGUACACCCUGGUCCACAGCCACAGUAAUAAUGGCUGUAUCCCACUGCUGCUAACAUUUAAAAACUCGCUGUUACGUGGCAAAUAACGAAUACAAGUACGACUGAUUUGGACGAUGCUUAGAAUGUAUUGAGGAGGACGUCUGUUGGAUGUAAUACACAAAAUGUGGCUUAUUGUGUGCUCACAUCUCUCCAACUAGUACUAUUUUGUGGUUUUUUAUACAGCAUUUUCAACGAUGCAUUCUCGACUCUCAAUGGAUCGACACGAAAAACAAUUACAUAUAAAUGUUCAUCAAUCCUAUAAGAUAGCACUAAACAUGUUCAAAUUCAUCUCAUAUACUUUUGCAACAAUUUGUCAGUUCAGUUUGCUGUGGCAUGUAAAUUUGUCUAAAUUUGUUUGUGUUGAAGUUUCUAA